rnacentral:ncRNA from 1 species
UACCUGGUUGAUCCUGCCAGUAGUCAUAUGCUUGUCUCAAAGAUUAAGCCAUGCAAGUCUAAGUACGAGCUCUCGUACAGUGAAACUGCGAAUGGCUCAUUACAUCAGUUAUGGUUCAUUUGAUCGUACAGUUUACUUGGAUAACUGUGGUAAUUCUAGAGCUAAUACAUGCGAGAAGCGCCGACCUCGCGGGAGGCGUGCAUUUAUCAGACCAAAAACCGGCCGCGUCUUCGGGCGCGUUCGCCUUGGUGACUCUGGAUAACUUUGCGGAUCGCACGGUCUAGCACCGGCGACGGAUCAUUCAAGUGUCUGCCCUAUCAACUUUCGUCGGUACGGUAUUUGCCUACCGAGGUUCUUACGGGUGACGGGGAAUCAGGGUUCGAUUCCGGAGAGGGAGCCUGAGAAACGGCUACCACAUCCAAGGAAGGCAGCAGGCGCGCAAAUUACCCAUUCCCGACGCGGGGAGGUAGUGACGAAAAAUAACAAUGCAGGACUCGUUCGAGGCCCUGUAAUUGGAAUGAGUACACUUUAAAAGCUUUAACGAGUAUCCAUUGGAGGGCAAGUCUGGUGCCAGCAGCCGCGGUAAUUCCAGCUCCAAAAGUAUAUAUUUAAGUUGUUGCGGUUAAAAAGCUCGUAGUUGGAUUUUGGGCGCAGGCGGCCGGUCCGUCGCAAGGCGUGUACUGGACGUCCUGGCCUUCCCUCCGGUUCUCCGCCGGUGCUCUUGACUGAGUGUCGGCGGCGGCCGGAACGUUUACUUUGAAAAAAUUAGAGUGUUCAAAGCAGGCUCUCGAGCCUGGAUAAUG